UAUAAUGUUUUAACUUUUCGUCUUAUUUAAAAUUUUUUAUGAUUAAUAUUUUUAUUGUUACUCGAUGAUAAAACAUAAAUAGUACUUUAUACGUGACUAAUUGUUUUAUGUUUUUUAAUAAAUUUUUCAAAUAAAAUGAAUGAUCAAACGUUAAACAUAGAAAUUGA
rnacentral:pre_miRNA from 1 species